rnacentral:pre_miRNA from 1 species
CCGAUCCGUCGCCCCGGCGAAGGCCGGGGCCGCUGGAUGUGGGCACGCGUGCGUCCUCCACACGGCGCACCCGGCCUUCGCCGGGGUGACGAAGAGA